GUCAACUCGUGAGUUUUCGGUGAGUCGAGUUUAAGCUUAAAAAAUAGACUCGAUUAUUAAUGAGUCGAACCGUGAGUCAAGCUCAAUUUUAGUAUCAGAUGAGCUUGAGCUUAGUCUAGCUCUACUCAGUUCGGCUCACUUCCAACCUAGUUAGAGGCGUAGGUUUCUGAACUCGUCGACGUUGGUUCAGCCAUAGACGCAGAUCAGCGUCGAGAAGGAAAAAAAAAACAAGAAGAUCAAGAGAAGGUGGAGGAAGAUCCAAAUCUCCAGUUCGUCGACUAAGCCACUCUUCCAAGCUAGCAGCAGAAGAUAAGGAUAAACAUAGUGAAAGAAAAAUUUUUUAUUGGGCUAAGAACUGUGUAAUAGAAAAAUGAAUGAGGUUUAUUUGCACUUUUAUUUUCUUCAAUUAUUCUUGAAUUGUUGAUUAUUGUAAAUUUCAGCUGUGAACUAACAUUUUUAGUGUUUUCAUUGAGGUGAUCUGCCAUGAAUUCAGGAACUCGCAUUUCCCACUUGGAGGAGGUGUGCCAACAAAAUCAAUAUGAGAUUGCAGCACUGCAACAUAGUCAGAUCGAGAUAAUGGCUCAUCUUGCUGGUACCCAAGAGCAGAUCGGCUCCGUCGAAAUCUCUCUGAAAAACAUAGAAAAUGUUGCGUGAUUUGUUGAAGCAAAAACCGAUCACGUUCGAGCAUAGAAACCCCCACAAUGAUUCCAAGUUUUCGGGUGACUCACAGACGGCUCGUUGGCCAAAGGGGAUGAAAAGCGAGCUACCCAUGUUUGACGGUGAGGGGUUGAAGAGUGGACAUUUCGAGCUCGCGAGUAUUUGGAGCUUUACUCGGUUUUGGUGGCAUGGAGAUUACACAUGCUUUCUUUUCACAUGAUGGAUGCAGCCUACACUUAGUACCGUUAGUGCAUCAACAACUCCAUCAACUACACCUAGGAGAGUUUCCUUGAGGCUCUCUGUGUUUCUUUCGGCCACAAUAUUUUCCACGAUUCAAAGGCAUCCUUGAAGGAACGUAAACAAGUCUCCACGGUUGCAGUCUAUCAACAUCAGUUCGAAGAGUUUUCUAAUCAGGUGACCGGACUGAACGAAUAAUGGAUUGUUUUGUUGUUUGUGGCGGGAUUAAUAGACGCAAUGAAAUGUGAGCUUAUGCUAGCCAAACCACAGUCGUAUGUUGAAACGGUAGCCCUUUGCCAAGCUCCAUGAGCAAAAGAAUCACGGCAGCGCAUUGAAUCUAAGACCACAUAGGAGACAGUGGAGGGGGGCUGGGGGGACACACCACCUCAAUUCAGCUCCACGAGGGGUGCACUUUCUCGUACAUCUAGCUUCUCUUCAAACGCCACAAAAGGGGCCUCGGUCGCAGAACGUUUAUUCCAACCCGAUGCAGUUGGGAAUCGGAUGCUAAAUAAGAUGGUUUCAGCUGAUGUUAUUGCUUCAUUAUUCCUACACUUAAGGGUGAUUGAUUCUGCACUUACAUCAGAGGAAACACAAUAGGAUGAAGAUGCGCAAUUAUUGUUAACUGAAUAUCAUGAUGUGUUCAAGGAGCCAGAAAACUUACAUCCACCCAGAGACAUUGAGCACUAGAUUCAUUUACAAUCGGGGACUAAACCAGUCAAUGUGCGUCCCUAUCGAUACCUUCACUACCAAAAAGAAGAGAUUGAGAAGUUAGUGGAGAAAAUGCUGUAAUCAAGGCUAAUCCGUGAGAGUCAUAGUGCGUUUUCCAAUCCCGUCCUAUUAGUGCGCAAGAAGGAUGGAAGCUACUAUUUUUUCAUCCACUACCGCGCCCUCAACACUACCACCAUCAAAGAUAAGUUUUUCGUACCCACAAUUAAUGAGAUAUUAGAUGAAUUAUAUGGUGCUGCCUAUUUUUCAAAAAUUGACUUAUGUUCGGAUUAUCAUUAGAUUUGGGUCAGGGAUGAAGAUAUUCCCAAGACAGCAUUUUGCACUCAUUUGGGUCACUACGAAUUUGUAGUGAUGCCUUUCAGCCUCACCAAUGCCCCGUCCACCUUCCAAGCCACCAUAAAUAAAGUGUUUCGACCACAUCUUAAAAAAUUUGUUGCUACUUCUUCGACGAUAUCCUCAUUUACAGUAAGUCCAAAGAGGAGCACAUGGUGCAUUUAAGAACAGCCUUGGCCGUGUUACAGCAGCAUUAGUUUGUUGCGAAGCUUUCUAAAUGCACUUUUUGGCAAACCUAAGAGGAGUACCUUGGUCAUGUGGUUAGAAGGAACAGAGUUCAUGUUGAUAAUUCUAAAAUAUAAGCCAUUGUUGAAUGGCCUAAGCUUACUAGUCUGAAAUAGCUGCAAGGUUUUCUUGGCCUCAUGGGAUGGGCAAUUUGUGGACCAAUAUGCGCAGUUGGCUGCCCCCUUCACCGAGUUACUUAAGCGUAAUUUCCACUAGGAUCAGGUUGCUAAGAUUGCCUUUGAGAAGCUCAAAACUGCCCUUACUCAUACAUCGGUAUUGGCACUGCUAGACUUUACUCUUCCAUUUAUUGUUGAAACUGAUUCAUUGGCACAAGGGAUUGGUGCGGUUUUGUCGCAGCAAGGUCAUCCCAUAGCAUAUUUUAAUAAGAAGCUAAAAUAGUAGACUAAUGGUAGCAUUAGCAUAUGUACGAGAGCUUUAUACCAUCAUCCAAAACGUGGCGAAAUGACGACAUUAUUUGUUGGGGUGCCGUUUUUAUAUCAAGGUGGAUUCGUAGGUGGUGUUGGGAGGGAAUGAAGGUUUUGUUGGUUGAGCAACUGUGAUUGAGGUACUCAAGUUGGUUAUUGUCAUUUGCUUCGCCUAUAAAAAAUUUGAAUAAGAAGAAAAGGCAAAUUUGGAGUAAUAUCGGUUUGAGGAAAAAGACGUAGAAAUAGAUUGAUCGUUGGUGUUUGGAUAUGGAUAUGAUUCAUAUGAUUAUGAAUAUGCAAAAGAAUGAUGCAUUGAUUGGUUAGUAUAGAAUAUUAGAGGCAAAUAAUCAACAAGUUUAGUCAGUGGUCUUGGCAAAAGUAGUUUUGACGACUUGUUACAUACGAUCGUGUUUUUGGAAAAGAAAAAAAUAAAGCCUGGCAAUAAGAAGAUUCAAAUGAGAUUAUAGAAAUUUGAAUGAUCAAAUUAACUAUAUAUGUACUAUGUGACAGGUAUAUGUCCAUGGAAAAUGAAACACAUCCAUUCACGAAAGUUUCGCACCUUUGGUAGUAGCUAGCUACAAGAUUGAUGAGAUAAA